CCCUUAGAUGUUCUGGGCUGCACGCGCGCUACACUGAAGCUAUCAACACGUUUUCCCUCCCUGAGAAGGGCGGGUAACCUUUUGAAUCAGCUUCGUGGUAGGGAUCGGGGCUUGCAAUUGUUCCCCGUGAACCAGGAAUUCCUAGUAGACGCGAGUCAUAAGCUCGCAUCGAUUAAGUCCCUGCCCUUUGUACACACCGCCCGUCGCUCCUACCGAUUGAAUGUGUUGGUGAGGAGCUCGGAUUGGCAGCAGUUGGUGGUUCGCCACCGGCUAUUGCUGAGAAGUCCUCCAAACCGCCCCAUUUAGAGGAAGGAGAAGUCGUAACA
rnacentral:rRNA from 1 species